CUACGGAGGGUGCAAGCGUUAAUCGGAAUUACUGGGCGUAAAGAGUACGUAGGUGGUUUGUUAAGUCAGAUGUGAAAGCCCCGGGCUCAACCUGGGAACUGCAUUUGAAACUGGCAAGCUAGAGUAUGGUAGAGGGGGGUAGAAUUUCUAGUGUAGCGGUGAAAUGCGUAGAUAUUAGAAGGAAUACCAGUGGCGAAGGCGGCCCCCUGGACCAAUACUGACACUGAGGUACGAAAGCGUGGGUAGCGAACAGGAUUAGAAACCCUUGUAGUCC
rnacentral:rRNA from 1 species